UACGGAGGGUGCAAGCGUUGUCCGGAUUUAUUGGGUUUAAAGGGUGCGUAGGCGGUUCGUUAAGUCCGGGGUGAAAGCCCACUGCUCAACAGUGGAACUGCCCUGGAAACUGGAGAACUUGAGUACAGACGAGGGCGGCGGAAUGGAUGGUGUAGCGGUGAAAUGCAUAGAUACCAUCCAGAACCCCGAUUGCGAAGGCAGCUGCCUAGACUGUAACUGACGCUGAGGCACGAAAGCGUGGGGAGCGAACAGG
rnacentral:rRNA from 1 species